ACCUGGCUGGCUCAGUUGGAGGAGCAUGUGACUCUUGAUCUCAGAGUUGUGAGUUCAAGCCUCAUGUUGGGUA
rnacentral:tRNA from 1 species